UCGUGUGGAAACUGUCUUGCCUGCAACAGAGGAGGUGGAAACUGCAGGGAAAACAGCUGAAUGUGAGAUACACUGAUCUGUAGGAAUGGUUUUUGACAGAAGGAGUGACAGUCACAAGCUACUGACUGCCUUGUGCUCAUAGGAAGGUGUGCAGGUUUUAUAGCCACGCUGCUCUAUUUGUCCCACAUUACCACAUAGGAAACUUACACAAAAAUGAGAAGUAGACCACUGAGAAUCUGUCUACAAAUGGUGCUAAUCUUGUGACUAAGCAAAUUUGGUUUUGCUUGCUCAGUAUGGCUCAUGUCACUCUCCUGGUGCCUUGCUGUAGCUUACUGCCCACACUCAAGAAUACAGCUGUACCCAAGAGAAGCCACUCCUCUAAAU